rnacentral:lncRNA from 1 species
UAAGGUGGCGAAACAUUAAGAACCUGUUACAAUUGUGUGGAAACAGAACCUAUGCAGCCCUCUAUGGACAACAGUGUUACAUGUACCAAAGAAUUAAACUGUAUCAAAAAAUAGUUACAUGUUUUGCCUAUCUGGGAAACAAAAUACUGUGCAUGUUGAGGUUGCAAUGACAUGUAGAACCGCCCCGUAAGUCUGUUAGCAUUACAAAAAACACGCAGAUAUGGAUAUUGUUGGGGAGUUCAUGAAAUAAAAAGGUCCAAAUGAUUCUGAUUCUUCCUUCCAUUUAGACUUUGUUUUGCUCCCUUGAUCUCUGGUACAUAAGCAUUCAAAUUCAAUUAAAGUAUAGUUAUAUAUAAGGUAAGCACUAAAGAAACAAAUGGGAUAAUGUUCAUGAAUAUAAUGAAUACUGCAUACUUUGUUGCCCCUUUGCUUCCUUGUGCUCUGUACAUCAGAAAGCAUCCUUUAGACAAAAGAUCAAUUUAGUGAUAAACAAUAGUCUUUAUAAUGGAUAUAUAACAUAUACUUUACACAGAUGAUUCGGAAUUAGUUGGUUGACUACACAUAUAGGUAGUCAUUUUGCUGCUGCUGCUUUGUUUACUGUUUCAUUGGCAGAUUAUGGCUAUAAUACCCCUGACAUUAGUUUCAUUGGCAAGUCGAGCUUUAGGAGUGUUGGUAGUAUUACAGCCCAAUUAGUUUGCCCUGCAUAAACGCAUCAAACUAUUAGCAAAGGGACACAGGAAACCAAAAUGAAGUUAUGUGAAAGAAACAUUUAAGUACAUGGAGAUCAAGUUGCCGUUAAGGUCCUUCAACAUUGAUAAUCUCACCUUUGGUCAAUGUUUGUUGUUUGCACAGAACCAAUAAGCCAAGUAAGAACCACACCACCAGUAAUGGGACUAAUAAGCACAUUAGCCUGUCAAGCAAGAAUUUGAAAAAUUAGGCUAUUUAGAAAGUAAAAUAAAUGUUCAGAUCGAUGUUGACGAAGCCCAGAUUGCUGGGAAGGGCUGAGGACGGAGCCGUCAGUCAAAGAGGAUGAGAUCGUUCUUGACGACAGUGAGGGAGUGCUUGGCACGGUGAGGGAGGACUGGGUGCUUGGCGCACCAAGGGAGGACUGGGUGCUUGACAGAGAUGGUGUUCUGUCGAUGUGGUUGUCGACGGCGGAGGAGAGGUGAAGAAGUCCCCCUCCCCCCACAUGGGGAAAAGAAUGGGGUUUGAGAAAGAAAUGGAUUUGGGGAA